rnacentral:rRNA from 1 species
UGGGGAAUAUUGCACAAUGGGCGCAAGCCUGAUGCAGCAACGCCGCGUGAGUGAUGAAGGUCUUCGGGUUGUAAAGCUCUGUCUUUUGGGACGAUAAUGACGGUACCAAAGGAGGAAGCCACGGCUAACUACGUGCCAGCAGCCGCGGUAAUACGUAGGUGGCAAGCGUUGUCCGGAUUUACUGGGCGUAAAGGAUGCGUAGGCGGAUUUUUAAGUGAGAUGUGAAAACCCUAAGCUUAACUUGGGGACUGCAUUUCAUACUGGAAAUCUAGAGUGCGGGAGAGGAGAAUGGAAUUCCUAGUGUAGCGGUGAAAUGCGUAGAGAUUAGGAAGAACACCAGUGGCGAAGGCGAUUCUCUGGACCGUAACUGACGCUGAGGCAUGAAAAGCGUGGGUAGCAAACAGGAUUAGAUACCCUGGUAGUCCACGCCGUAAACGAUGAGUACUAGGUGUAGGAGGUAUCGACCCCUUCUGUGCCGCAGUUAACACAAUAAGUACUCCGCCUGGGAAGUACGAUCGCAAGAUUAAAACUCAAAGAAAUUGACGGGGUCAUAG